AUAAAAGAACGCGACGCUCCCUUCACUCGCUCUCUUUCACUUCAAGUCUUCCAAGAGGAAAAGUAGCCCAAACUCAGAACACGGGGUCAACCCAUAAUUGGAGCUCUGCCCAGCCCCUCUAACCAUGGCUAUCUGUAUAGACUGCAGGUGUUGGGAAAUGAAGAUGGAAGGGCGAAACAUGAAAAUGACCUUCUCAUGAAGGUGACCUCAUGGCAGCACCUGAAGAGACUAGGUGCCACUCCAGGCUGACAAAGAUGAACUAAAUGAGGACAUCUCACGUCAAGGAAUCAUCUGCUCGUAUCAGUGUCUUGGGGCGGUAGGGGCUCUCAAUCGUUCCUGGGUUGUGAAGAUCAGCAACAUGCCGGCAGAAGCACGAACAAGUGAAUUGGGAAUCCAAGGUUGUCUAGCUUCGCCGCUGCAGGCAUUCACCUGAACUGACUUGUACCUGCAGUACAGCUAACAAGACUAUUACUACUUAAAGGCUGGGGUCAACCACUUACUACUGGCUGGUAUUGUGUUUAAUCAGUUUUCAAAUAAAUGGUUCAGACAAA